rnacentral:rRNA from 1 species
UGCCAGCCGCCGCGGUAAUACGGAGGGUGCAAGCGUUACUCGGAAUCACUGGGCGUAAAGGGUGCGUAGGCGGUUUAGUAAGUCUUGUGUGAAAUGUCAGGGCUCAACCUUGAGACAGCAUGGGAAACUGCUAAACUAGAGUGUGAAAGAGGCAGGUGGAAUUAGUGGUGUAGGGGUAAAAUCCGUAGAUAUCACUAGGAAUACCGAUGGCGAAGGCGACCUGCUGGAACAUAACUGACGCUGAGGCACGAAAGCGUGGGGAGCAAACAGGAUUAGAUA